rnacentral:rRNA from 1 species
UACGAAGGGGGGCUAGCGUUGCUCGGAAUCACUGGGCGUAAAGGGUGCGUAGGCGGGGUCUUUUAAGUCAGGGGGUGAAAUCCUGGAGCUCAACUCCAGAACUGCCUUUGAUACUGAGGAUCUUGAGUUCGGGAGAGGUGAGUGGAACUGCGAGUGUAGAGGUGAAAUUCGUAGAUAUUCGCAAGAACACCAGUGGCGAAGGCGGCUCACUGGCCCGAUACUGAC